UGGCAUCCCACCACUGAGAGGGGCAUCUUCAGCCCUGAGGAGGAGGUGUCCCCACAGCAAGCUUGAGGACAGAUGAGACUGUGGGCCCUUGCUAACAAGCCCUUGGUUGCCUCCUGACUCAACCUCCUGCCUAUGUUCCAUUUGGAAUUUCAGAUUCUAGACACUAAACAUUUGAUGCUGAGGACAUCAAUUCAGAGGCUGGAGUCCACAGGUCCUAGCUUGCCCCCUGAGGCCUGUUGUUACCUGACCUCCACCGAUUGCUCCAGCUUCGUGGCCUGACAUGGCCCCUCUCGGACUAGACACUCGGCAACAUCUCAAACAAGUGGCUCCCCGGAAGUCCGCCCCUUGUGUCUCCGCCCCUGUCCCUCAGCACCUACCCCAGCCCCAUCCAUCUAUCCCUGACAAGCAGCCCCUGAUAUCUCAAGACUUAACUCAAACAUCACCUCCUUUGUGAAGUUUCCCCAGAUAGAGCUAACCCCGCCCUUUUUUUGUGACCUCACUGUGCCAGGAUGAGCGAGAAGACAGGAGGGGGAAGGAGAGAUUGAUAAAUGGAGAGGCCAUCAAAGAGGACAGCUAUUUGCCAUGCAAAAGGGUGUUCAUGAAAAUACUCCAGCUCCUCUACCAUCGCCAUUAUUUCAUAAGAGUAAGGCCACAUGGUGGGGACAACUUUUGAGACCUGUCCUAGAGUGUGAGCUCUAGUAGGGUGCCUGGCAGCCUGUGAGAACACAGCUCUAGCUGCUGCGGUUUCCCUGGAACCAGAACCCUACGGAUGCCGUUGAGAUGCUGGCUGAGCCGUUCUUCCACCGCCUGCCUCGGUUCCACGUCGCUGAGUCCCACCUCCUGGGAGCCGUGGAUGCUGAGAAUAUCAUCAGGAGACCCUCAGCAUUGUGCUGAGUUUAGAUUCACCAGGGACCUUCUCAGCUGGCUGUGUGAAGAGGCAGCUGAAAGUCUGGCCAGAGGACAACAGUCAUCUUGACAAACCAAAACACGUCCCUCCCCGCCAACACAAGUUUGCCCACCUCCCACUGGGAGCCACUCAUGUAUGGUUUGCAGAUGAAACCUGGGCAGACAGACACAAAGCCAUCCCCGAGCUUGUAGCAG
rnacentral:lncRNA from 1 species